rnacentral:rRNA from 1 species
GAUGAACGCUGGCGGCGUGCUUAACACAUGCAAGUCGAACGGAAAGGCCCUGCUUUUGUGGGGUGCUCGAGUGGCGAACGGGUGAGUAACACGUGAGUAACCUGCCCUUGACUUUGGGAUAACUUCAGGAAACUGGGGCUAAUACCGGAUAGGAGCUCCUGCUGCAUGGUGGGGGUUGGAAAGUUUCGGCGGUUGGGGAUGGACUCGCGGCUUAUCAGCUUGUUGGUGGGGUAGUGGCUUACCAAGGCUUUGACGGGUAGCCGGCCUGAGAGGGUGACCGGCCACAUUGGGACUGAGGUACGGCCCAGACUCCUACGGGAGGCAGCAGUGGGGAAUAUUGCACAAUGGGCGGGAGCCUGAUGCAGCAGCGCCGCGUGCGGAAUGACGUCCUUCGGGUUGUGAACCGCUUUCGCCUGUGACGAAGCGUGAGUGACGGUAAUGAGUAAAGAAGCACCGGCUAACUACGUG